GACGAACGCUGGCGGCGUGCUUAACACAUGCAAGUCGAGCGGUAAGGCCCUUUCGGGGGUACACGAGCGGCGAACGGGUGAGUAACACGUGGGUGACCUGCCCUCAGCUCUGGGAUAAGCCUGGGAAACUGGGUCUAAUACCGGAUAUGACUCCAUGACGCAUGUUGUGGGGUGGAAAGCCUUGUGCGGCUGAGGAUGGGCCCGCGGCCUAUCAGCUUGUUGGUGGGGUGANGGCCUACCAAGGCGACGAC
rnacentral:rRNA from 1 species